rnacentral:rRNA from 1 species
GACGAACGCUGGCGGCGUGCUUAACACAUGCAAGUCGAGCGGUAAGGCCUCUUCGGGGGUACACGAGCGGCGCACGGGUGAGUAACACGUGGGUGACCUGCCCUCAGCUCUGGGAUAAGCCUGUGAAACUGGGUCUAAUACCGGCUAUGACCUUUCCUCGCAUGGGGUUUGGUGGAAAGUUUUUUCGGCUGGGGAUGGGCCCGCGGCCUAUCAGCUUGUUGGUGGGGUGAUGGCCUACCAAGGCGACGACGGGUAGCCGGCCUGGGAGGGCGACCGGCCACACUGGGACUGAGACACGGCCCAGACUCCUACGGGAGGCAGCAGUGGGGAAGAUUGAGCAAUGGGCGGAAGCCUGACGCAGCGACGCCGCGUGGGGGAGGACGGCCUUCGGGUUGGAAACCUCUUUCGACCCCGACGAAUUUGGACGGUAGGGGUAGAAGAAGCACCGGCCAACUACGUG